GAUGAACGCUGGCGGCGUGCCUAAUACAUGCAAGUCGAGCGAACGGACGAGAAGCUUGCUUCUCUGAUGUUAGCGGCGGACGGGUGAGUAACACGUGGAUAACCUACCUAUAAGACUGGGAUAACUUCGGGAAACCGGAGCUAAUACCGGAUAAUAUUUUGAACCGCAUGGUUCAAAAGUGAAAGACGGUCUUGCUGUCACUUAUAGAUGGAUCCGCGCUGCAUUAGCUAGUUGGUAAGGUAACGGCUUACCAAGGCAACGAUGCAUAGCCGACCUGAGAGGGUGAUCGGCCACACUGGAACUGAGACACGGUCCAGACUCCUACGGGAGGCAGCAGUAGGGAAUCUUCCGCAAUGGGCGAAAGCCUGACGGAGCAACGCCGCGUGAGUGAUGAAGGUCUUCGGAUCGUAAAGCUCUGUUAUUAGGGAAGAACAUAUGUGUAAGUAACUGUGCACAUCUUGACGGUACCUAAUCAGAAAGCCACGGCUAACUACGUGCCAGCAGCCGCGGUAAUACGUAGGUGGCAAGCGUUAUCCGGAAUUAUUGGGCGUAAAGCGCGCGUAGGCGGUUUUUUAAGUCUGAUGUGAAAGCCCACGGCUCAACCGUGGAGGGUCAUUGGAAACUGGAAAACUUGAGUGCAGAAGAGGAAAGUGGAAUUCCACGUGUAGCGGUGAAAUGCGCAGAGAUAUGGAGGAACACCAGUGGCGAAGGCGACUUUCUGGUCUGUAACUGACGCUGAUGUGCGAAAGCGUGGGGAUCAAACAGGAUUAGAUACCCUGGUAGUCCACGCCGUAAACGAUGAGUGCUAAGUGUUAGGGGGUUUCCGCCCCUUAGUGCUGCAGCUAACGCAUUAAGCACUCCGCCUGGGGAGUACGACCGCAAGGUUGAAACUCAAAGGAAUUGACGGGGACCCGCACAAGCGGUGGAGCAUGUGGUUUAAUUCGAAGCAACGCGAAGAACCUUACCAAAUCUUGACAUCCUUUGACAACUCUAGAGAUAGAGCUUUCCCCUUCGGGGGACAAAGUGACAGGUGGUGCAUGGUUGUCGUCAGCUCGUGUCGUGAGAUGUUGGGUUAAGUCCCGCAACGAGCGCAACCCUUAAGCUUAGUUGCCAUCAUUAAGUUGGGCACUCUAAGUUGACUGCCGGUGACAAACCGGAGGAAGGUGGGGAUGACGUCAAAUCAUCAUGCCCCUUAUGAUUUGGGCUACACACGUGCUACAAUGGACAAUACAAAGGGCAGCGAAACCGCGAGGUCAAGCAAAUCCCAUAAAGUUGUUCUCAGUUCGGAUUGUAGUCUGCAACCCGACUACAUGAAGCUGGAAUCGCUAGUAAUCGUAGAUCAGCAUGCUACGGUGAAUACGUUCCCGGGUCU
rnacentral:rRNA from 1 species